rnacentral:rRNA from 1 species
CGUGUAGGCGGGGACAUAAGUCAGAUGUGAAAUACCGAGGCUUAACUUCGGGGCUGCAUCUGAAACUAUGUUUCUUGAGUGUCGGAGAGGAAAGUGGAAUUCCCAGUGUAGCGGUGAAAUGCGUAGAUAUUGGGAGGAACACCAGUGGCGAAGGCGACUUUCUGGACGAUAACUGACGCUGAGGCGCGAAAGCGUGGGGAGCAAACAGGAUUAGAUACCCUGGUAGUCCACGCUGUAAACGAUGGAUACUAGGUGUGGGAGGUAUCGACCCCUUCCGUGCCGCAGUUAACACAAUAAGUAUCCUACCUGGGGAGUACGGCCGCAAGGUUGAA